UACCAGCUGGCUGCAACUGUUUAUUAAAAACACAGCACUGUGCAAACACGAAAGUGGACGUAUACGGUGUGACGCCUGCCCGGUGCCGGAAGGUUAAUUGAUGGGGUCAGCGCAAGCGAAGCUCCUGAUCGAAGCCCCGGUAAACGGCGGCCGUAACUAUAACGGUCCUAAGGUAGCGAAAUUCCUUGUCGGGUAAGUUCCGACCUGCACGAAUGGCGUAAUGAUGGCCAGGCUGUCUCCACCCGAGACUCAGUGAAAUUGAACUCGCUGUGAAGAUGCAGUGUACCCGCGGCAAGACGGAAAGACCCCGUGAACCUUUACUAUAGCUUGACACUGAACAUUGAGCCUUGAUGUGUAGGAUAGGUGGGAGGCUUUGAAGCGUGGACGCCAGUCUGCGUGGAGCCGACCUUGAAAUACCACCCUUUAAUGUUUGAUGUUCUAACGUGGACCCGUGAUCCGGGUUGCGGACAGUGUCUGGUGGGUAGUUUGACUGGGGCGGUCUCCUCCUAAAGAGUAACGGAGGAGCACGAAGGUUGGCUAAUCCUGGUCGGACAUCAGGAGGUUAGUGCAAUGGCAUAAGCCAGCUUGACUGCGAGCGUGACGGCGCGAGCAGGUGCGAAAGCAGGUCAUAGUGAUCCGGUGGUUCUGAAUGGAAGGGCCAUCGCUCAACGGAUAAAAGGUACUCCGGGGAUAACAGGCUGAUACCGCCCAAGAGUUCAUAUCGACGGCGGUGUUUGGCACCUCGAUGUCGGCUCAUCACAUCCUGGGGCUGAAGUAGGUCCCAAGGGUAUGGCUGUUCGCCAUUUAAAGUGGUACGCGAGCUGGGUUUAGAACGUCGUGAGACAGUUCGGUCCCUAUCUGCCGUGGGCGCUGGAGAACUGAGGGGGGCUGCUCCUAGUACGAGAGGACCGGAGUGGACGCAUCACUGGUGUUCGGGUUGUCAUGCCAAUGGCACUGCCCGGUAGCUAAAUGCGGAAGAGAUAAGUGCUGAAAGCAUCUAAGCACGAAACUUGCCCCGAGAUGAGUUCUCCCUGAGACUUUAGGUCUCCUGAAGGAACGUUGAAGACGACGACGUUGAUAGGCCGGGUGUGUAAGCGCAGCGAUGCGUUGAGCUAACCGGUACUAAUGAACCGUGAGGCUUAACCUUACAA
rnacentral:rRNA from 1 species